GGUUUUAUACAAAACAUUAGGAUUUCUAAUUUAACAAUUAGGGUUAUCCCUAAUAUAUAAUCAAAAAUACUUAAGCCAUUAUAUUUAGCCUUUGACUUCCCAAAUUAGGGUUUCUAAUACCGAAUUAGGGUUUCGAAUUCCCGAUACUGAAAUUAGGGUUUCCAGAACCGAUUUCUAGGGUUUCUUAUAAAUCGUAAUAAUUUUUUUAUAACUGAACGUGGACGUUCUUAAUAUAUACGAUUAGGGUUUGACACAGGUUUAAUUUAUUUGGUCAACCCUUGACCCUUAACCACAUUCUGUACACAUGAUACCGUAAUCCUGAACAUAUACUCAUAUACCCUUAAUCCUGAAUAAUUCACUAAAAGAAAUUUUAAAUCCUCAAAAUUCCUUUCUGAAAAUAUCAAACACAUG
rnacentral:lncRNA from 1 species